rnacentral:lncRNA from 13 species
AACAAAAUGCCAUACACUGGGUGGAUUCAACAAGAGACAUUUAUUUUCUUACAGAUAUGGAGGCUGGAAGUCCAAGAUCAAGGUGCCAGCAGAGUCGGUUUCUGGAGAGGCCUCUGCUCCUGGCUUGUAGAUGGCACCUUCUCACUGUGUCCUCACAUAGCCUGUCCUCUGUGUACACAGGCAGAGAGACAGCUCUGGCCUGGUUGACAGAUUUAUCACCCGUCACCUGGAAGAUUCUGAUAAUUUUCUAACUGGUCUAAAUGCCUCCGGUAUCUCCAAUCCCUCCUACACACUGACACAAGAAUGUUCUUCCUAAAACAAAGGUUGGAUCAACUCCUUGGUUUCCCUUGAAAAUCAUCAGUAGCUUUCCAUUGCUUAUAAGAUCUAGCCUAAAAAGUUACUGGGCCUUAAAAAAAAAAAAAAAAAGAAGCGUGACCCUCCUCUGGCCCUGAUUCCCUCUCAGGCUAAUCUACAUUCUUGCCUACACCUCCCCAACUCUGCCUUCUAGUGAUUUCCGAUGGUUCCUGCUACAUCAGAACUACCCCCCCCAUCAAUCCCUGGGUAACUUCAGAAUUCAGGGUUCCAGGUUCCCCCCUAAAGAAAUCAGUCUGGAGAAAGGCCUAGGAGUCCGUAUUUUAAAGGCCGCUGCAGUUGUGAGGUUUGGGAACUUCCAUUCCAGCCAGCACUCCUGCUCUACUCAUGGGUCCCAGAACACAUUCUGGACUCUUGGCCUUUCCCGUCGUCACUCACGCUCUUCCUUCAGCCUUGGGUUUUCAUUCCCCCUUUCCCUACCUUCCAAAUCCUAUCUGCUUUUAAGCUUUCACUGAAACAUCACCUCUCUUCAAAGCGCCCUUGGAUCCCCCAAAAAAGAACACCAGCUCUGGAAUCACCAGGACCUGGCUCAGAUCUCCACCCUGUAAUCAAAUGGCCAGCUAUCUGGGACAUUACUGGUGAGUGCCAAGUCUCAGUUUCUGUGUUUGCAAAAUGAGGAUGAUAAUAGAAUCCAACUCAAGAGACCAUGGGGAUUAAAUAAAAUCACAAAUGUAACAAGCUUAGCA